rnacentral:lncRNA from 1 species
AAAACAGUUAAAUUGUUAUCCGAUCUCCUUUGUUAAACUUUUUAACAACUUAUGAAAGUUACGACCAUGUCUGUCUGUGACUGACUGUGCAACCAACUUAAGAUUCAAAACUCAUUACUAGAUGUCGCCAGGGUCGCCGAUGUUGUUCUUUCAUGGUGAAACGAGGCGAAAUGAGCGAAACAAAUUUAUUUAUACUUACUCCUGUGAUUUCAAAUACCAAAUUUAACUUCGUAUCUAAUAUGCAUACUGUCAGUCAUUCCAACAAGUUGACUUAGUGCUCAGUCAAUUUCCAUCCAUUAGAUCCUCAUGCUGUCAAAAGCCUAAAACUCAUGUUUGAAGAGCACAUAUAGUGGAAUAUAAAUCUGCCGAGAUAAGGAUCUUUUCUGAAUCUCGCAAUUUUGCUGGCGUACGCUGCAACAGCAUGUUUGUUGUUAUGGCUGUUUUUAUACUUUGGUUUAGAAGGCUACCCAGCAAAGAGAUAGAGUUUCAGUGACAUGAAGAGUGUGAAGUAAACCACCUAUCACCACGCUACUGCAAUACUUCAUGACACUUUCUUUAACUCAUCAGGAAAUUUAUCUCAACCUGUGGAGUAAUGCUGUUGGUUGCUGUGAAUUCCAGUUUUACGGUUUUGUCAUGAUGAACUUUUCAGUGUGCUUCUUAGAAAAGAACACACAGUUUCUUUGUGGAAUUGUGUGGUCCUAGCACAGAUAUUCUUGAGCCAACGCUGGCUUUUGUCCAUGACCAACGUUCUGCUCCAUCCUUAUCUUCCCGACGUAAGCUCAUCCAGCUUCUGCUUCAUCGCUUCGUACACAAAAAUACAACUUGUCAUACUUCACUGACGAGUUGGAACACUUCAGUGGUCGCUUCCGUGCCGCUGUUACACACCUGCAGUCACUCACCACGGGGUUAUGCCCAGGUAAUGCAGAGGAGACGUCGAGAAGAUGAACAUUAAAAC